rnacentral:precursor_RNA from 1 species
UAGCAAAAUUCGGACUCACGUGUUUCUUGUGUCGGGCCUUCCAAAUUCAUGUUAUU